rnacentral:lncRNA from 1 species
UCUGUCUGUUUAGAACAGGAGCUGCGAGGGUAGUCUAUUCUAUCGUGGUAGAACAGGAGCUGCAGAGGGUCUGUCUGUCUGUCGUAGAACAGGAGCUGCAGAGGGUCUGUCUGGUCUGUCUGUUGUAGAACAGGAGCCGAAGGAGGUCUGUCUGUCUGUUGUAGAACAGGGAGCUGCAGAGGGUCUGUCGACUGUUGUUGUGGAGCAGGAGCUGCAGAGGGUAUGUCUGUCUGUUGUAGAACAGGAGCCAGAAGGAGUCUGUCUGUCUGUUGUAGAACAGGAGCUGCAGAGGUUGUCUGUCUGUUGUUGUAGACAGGAGCUGCAGAGGUAUGUCUGUUCUGUGUAGAACAGGAGCUGCAGAGGGUUCUGUCUUCUGUUGUAGAACAGGAGCUGCAGAGGUAGUCUGUCUGUCUGUUGUAGAAAAGGAGCUGCAGAGGGUAUGUCGUCUGUCGUUGUAGAACAGGAGCUGCAGAGGGUUGUCUGUCUGUGUAGAACAGGAGCUGAGAGGGUAUGUCUUCUGUCUGUUGUAGAACAGGAGCUGCAGAGGGUAUGUCUGUCUGUUGUAGAACAGAGCUGCAGAGGGUCUGUCUCUGUCUGUUGUAGACAGGAGCUGCCGAGGGUCUGUCUCUGUCUGUUGUAGAACAGGAGCUGCAGAGGGUAUGUCUGUCUGUCUGUUGUAGAACAGGAGCUGCAGAGGGUCUGUCUGUCUGUUGUAGAACAGGAGCUGCAAAGGGUCUGUCUGAUGUCUGUUGUGGAGCAGGAGCUGCAGAGGGUAUGUCUGCUGUCUGUUGUAGAACAGGAGCUGCAGAGGGUAUGUCUGUCUGUUGUAGAACAGGAGCCAGAAGAAGGUCUGUCUGUCUGUUGUAGUAGAACAGGAGCUGCAGCGGGAUGUCUGUCUGUCUGUUGUAGAACAGGAGCUGCAGAGGGUAUGUCUGUCUGUUGUGGAACAGGAGCUGCAGAGGGUAUGUCUGUCUGUUGUAGAACAGGAGCUGCAGAGGGUAGUCUGUCGUUGUCUGUCUGUUGUGAGCUCUAUAUGACAAGGUGUCAGAGGUCAUG